rnacentral:lncRNA from 1 species
AGAGCUUUGAAAACCCAGACGCUUUCUUUUUCUUUUUCACUUGGCUUUUUCCAUUGAGAGACCUAGAGUCCCAGGUUCUGGGUCGUCCCCCCAGAUCCCUCCGUCUCAUAGGCUUGGAAGGUCAGAAGAGACCAAAAUGUAACCAAGUGAGUGAGCUCGGUGCUGGAUCUUUUUUUCCUCUCCCUCCGUCUCUUUCUCUCUCUCUGUCUGUUUGUCUAUCUGUCUGUCUCUCUGUCUCUGUCUCUCUCCUUCUGUCUCUUUCCAUCCCUCUGUGUCUCUGUCUGUCUCUCUCUCUCCCUCUCCCCAUCUCUGUCUCCUUCCCUCUCUGUCUGUCUCUCUCUGUCUUUCUGUCUCUCUUUCUCCCUCUCUCUCCCUCCCUCUUUCUCCCUCUCUUUUCCAUCUCCCUCUCUCUGUCUCUGUCUCUCUCCCUCUCUUGGCCUGUCUCUCUCUCUCCCUGUCUCUGUCUGUCUGUCUGUCUGUCUCUCUCUGUCUCCAUAUCCCUCUCUCUGUCUCUGUCUGUCUGUCCAUCCCUCCUCCCCCGCUUCAUCUCCCUCUCUCUGUCUGUCUCUCUCUCCCCUCACUCUCCGUUGCUCUGAUCCUUUCUCUUCUCUUGCUCUCCCCCUCCCCCGGUAUUUCUGUCCCGCAGUCCUGCAGGAUGACAAGAGAGGAAGGGGAGCCUCUCUCCCAGGGCAGCUCAUCUCUUCCAGGCACGUGCAAAGAUCUUGUUUCAAUUAUCGCCUUUUUGAUAUGGGUCAAACUGAUUUGCCACAGUUCUGUGCCUGUCACUUCAUCAUUCCCCGCUUUUGUCCUCUCGUCUUUGUUCUGUUGAACUCACGGGAGAAGGAACUAGGCAAUUUACUAGGCUUUCUCUGGAGAAGGGAGGAGGCAGCUAUGAGAGGACCCAGAAACAUCUGGACGAUGCUUUUUGCUGGAACAAGGGGACCACGGUGGCCACCCCAGAUGAAGACGAACAAAUGACCUUCCACGUUCUCACAGUGUCCUGAGCCCUCUGGCCGGUGUCUCAAAGUCAGGUGAACAGAACAAAGGCCAAUAGCCUCUAACUUUCGGGAACAUCCUGGAACACAGCAUGGGAAAAAUGAGGUUCGCCCUUGACUGGCCCCAUCCUUCAUCACCAUCUCCCUCAUUUCUCAGGACCUUGCCGAGGACUUUCCAGGGAGCACUUUAAGCUGCUGGAGGCUUAGGAAAGACCUGCUGUCUGCAAAAAGCAUCAUCCUUGCUUGUGUGAGGGCCAAUGGCC